rnacentral:rRNA from 1 species
AUUGAACGCUGGCGGCAUGCCUUACACAUGCAAGUCGAACGGCAGCACGGGAGCAAUCCUGGUGGCGAGUGGCGAACGGGUGAGUAAUAUAUCGGAACGUGCCCAGUCGUGGGGGAUAACGCAGCGAAAGCUGUGCUAAUACCGCAUACGAUAUAUGGAUGAAAGCGGGGGAUCGCAAGACCUCGCGCGAUUGGAGCGGCCUAUAGCAGAGUAGCUAGUUGGUGAGGUAAAGGCUCACCAAGGCGACGCUCUGUAGCUGGCCUGAGAGGACGACCAGCCAAACUGGAACUGAGACACGGUCCAGACUCAUACGGGAGGCAGCAGUGGGGAAUAUUGGACAAUGGGCGAAAGCCUGAUCCAGCAAUGCCGCGUGCAGGAGGAAGGCUUUCGGGUUGUAAAGCGCUUUUGGACGGAAGGAAACGGUGAGCUCUAAUACAGUUUGCUAAUGACGGUACCGUAAGAAUAAGCACCGGCUAACUACGUGCCAGCCGCCGCCGUAA